rnacentral:piRNA from 1 species
GAUGUGGACAGGAGUCGAAGGAC